rnacentral:rRNA from 1 species
GAUGAACGCUAGCGGCAGGCUUAAUACAUGCAAGUCGAGGGGCAGCACGAAUAGCAAUAUUUGGUGGCGACCGGCGCACGGGUGCGUAACACGUAUACAACCUACCUAUAACAGGGGGAUAGCCUUUCGAAAGAGAGAUUAAUACCCCGUAAUAAAUUGAAUGGCAUCAUUUGAUUUUGAAAGCUACGGCGGUUAUAGAUGGGUAUGCGUCUGAUUAGCUAGUUGGUGAGGUAAUGGCUCACCAAGGCGACGAUCAGUAGGGGAUCUGAGAGGACUAACCCCCANACUGGUACUGAGACACGGACCAGACUCCUACGGGAGGCAGCAGUAAGGAAUAUUGGUCAAUGGAGGCAACUCUGAACCAGCCAUGCCGCGUGCAGGAUGACGGCCCUAUGGGUUGUAAACUGCUUUUGUACCAGAGAAAACCUACUCACGUGUGAGUAGCUGAUAGUAUGGUAAGAAUAAGCAUCGGCUAACUUCGUGCCAG